rnacentral:rRNA from 1 species
UAUACGACUCUCGGCAAUGGAUAUCUAGGCUCUCACAUCGAUGAAGAACACAGUGAAAUAAGAUACUUUGUAUGAAUUAUAGAAUCCCGUGAACCAUCGAGUCUUUGAAUGCAAGUUGCGCCCGAGGCCUUCUGGCCGAGGGCACGCCUGCCUGGGCGUCACGC